UGCCAGAAGACAAGGCGGAACAGAGACAGAGAGAGAGAGAGAGAGAGAGAGUCGCUAACCUCAGAACCCCCGCAACACCCAAGCAUGAGGACUGGUUCACAUCGUGGAUUCUCCACCUAGCUGUUAUCCACAACUAGUGAUGGCUGAAGAGCCGUGAAUGGGGAGAACACCAGCUCACGUUUGGCCAGUACCAGUGUGCCGGGCACUAUUCUAAGCACUUCCACGUGUUAACUCACUUAUUUCUCAUGACAACCCUAAGAGCUGAGGACAAUUAUUAGGUGAGAAAAGUGAGGCCCCAAAAGGUAAGCCACUUGCCUAAGGCCCUCCAGCUAAGAAGUGGGGGCCCAGGGGUGUGGUCCCAGAACCUAUGCCCUCCCCACUGAAGGAUACUUUGGACAAGGGGACCUUGGUGGUGGCCAGUGCGCCCACACACAGGAGAGCUAGAGAGUACACACAUGUACAGGAGUACAUUCUGGAGAGCCAGAGAAACCUGCCCCCACACAGUCAUAACCUCCAACCUGCCCAGAUUUUUCUUCAUCAGAAUAGCCCAGGAGCCUGGCUGGCGGUAUCUGUCUGGCUCUGCCCCAAGAGAGGAGGCGUGAUACGACACCCCAGCCCUCACCAGCUUGCCAGUCCCUCCCACUCCAGCUAGUCUGGACUCCUCAGUCAGCUGGGGUUCCCCACCCUUGGACGCCCUGAGCUCCUCCCUCAGCGACAGGUGCGGCAGGGGGCAGGAGACAGGAGGCCGUGGAGGCCCCAGUGACAAGAACAGAAACCAGAGCCCCAGGCCAGGACAGCACUGGACAGGAAUGGGGAGGAGACAGACAGAAGGAGACAGAGGAGAAGACACACAGGAAGAGAGCAAAGGCAGAAUGUAGGAGACAGAGAUGGGGCUGCGUCCUCCCUCGCCCUUCCCACAGGCAACACAGCUCUCUCUUGUCUCGGGGCUGAAAGCAAGAAGGGGAGAGGGAAGACCUUGUAAAUGAAGCAGGUGAGAGUUCUGCAGCUACACGUCUCAGUUUCAAUUCUCCUCGAGUCCCUGAUGCAGAACGAGCACCUCCGGAGGGGAAGUGAGUGAAGACAGGUGCCCAUGGGAGAUACCCCUCACUCAACCCCACUUUGGGCAACAGGCCCGAUGCUUAGAGGGUCCCAGAAACACCUUCCUGACAGGGCUCCAGAGACCAAAGCCCAAGGCCACUGAGCCCUGCAAAGUGGCAAAAGGAGAAGGCAGAGGGACACUUGCCAGACCCUGCCCAUGUCUCCCCAGGGAUCUGAAUUCUCUUCCCACCCCACAUCACACAAAACCCCUAUUCUCUCGGAAUAUCUGAUACCUCCCGUGGAACAGGAACUUGAGGUCUGGCUUUGUCCCCAACCAGCUGUAUGACCUUGGUUAACCUCUUCCCUUCCGAAGACCUCAGUCUGCCAUCUCCAUAGUGAGCGGCCCUUUGGGGGCUGGCGCUCUGCGGUCCUGGGACUCUGUUGGCCCUCACCAGCCUUCAAAGCCACUGGUGCUCUCAGAAGGAUGCUGGUCAGCCUCCCCCAGCUGUCCACCCUACCCGUGUCCUGGAAAGCCCCCUAUCCUGUCCAAUGUCCCACCUCCUUCUAGCAAACCGUAGCUGGCCCAUGCCCUCCGGGCCUUGCAAGGAGCUGACCACCAUCCACAGAAAUAAGAGGACCCGACGUGAGAUGGAAAGUGAGAGCGGCUGAUUCCCCCCUACUGGAGAACACAGCGGCACCAGGCCGGCCUGGCCUUUCGCCUGACGGCCCGCGUUUAAGACACCAUCCCUUUAUCUGGCUUUCAUUAGAGCCUCGGCCGCGCCUCUUUUGUGGGAGAGACUUAUGGGAACCCAGGCAGUUUCCCAGCCUCUGUGAUGUUGCUAAAGAUUAAAAAGGAGCUUUGAAGCUGUACCAGUUCUCUCUGCGCCCCCUCGGUACAGGGCCUCAGAAAGACCCAAGCCAUCUGGCAAACCUGACAUAAAGACAAAAUAAAGUGAUUGAGACUGGCUCUUCAAA